CACCUCUUCCCAUUCCGAACAGAGAAGUUAAGCCCAACCACGCCGAUGGUACUGCAGUUUUGUGGGAGAGUAGGUAACCGCCAUCU
rfam:Dysgonomonas macrotermitis strain DSM 27370 genome assembly, contig: Ga0131167_103